rnacentral:rRNA from 1 species
GACAGAGGGUGCAAACGUUGUUCGGAAUUACUGGGCGUAAAGCGCGUGUAGGCGGCUAAGUAAGUCGGGCGUGAAAUCCCACGGCUCAACCGUGGAAGUGCACUCGAAACUGCAUAGCUAGAGUCCUGGAGAGGAAGGUGGAAUGCUUGGUGUAGAGGUGAAAUUCGUAGAUAUCAAGCGGAACACCGGUGGCGAAAGCGGCGCGCUGGACCACUACUGACGCUGAGGAACGAAAGCUAGGGGAGCAAACAGG